GAGCCUGUAGCUCAGCCGGUAGAGCAUCUGACUUUUAAUCAGAGGGUCCCGGGUUCGAAUCCCGGCGGGCUCACCA
rnacentral:tRNA from 1 species